GAUGAACGCUGGCGGCGUGCCUAAUACAUGCAAGUCGAGCGAACAGACGAGGAGCUUGCUCCUCUGACGUUAGCGGCGGACGGGUGAGUAACACGUGGAUAACCUACCUAUAAGACUGGGAUAACUUCGGGAAACCGGAGCUAAUACCGGAUAAUAUAUUGAACCGCAUGGUUCAAUAGUGAAAGACGGUUUUGCUGUCACUUAUAGAUGGAUCCGCGCCGCAUUAGCUAGUUGGUAAGGUAACGGCUUACCAAGGCAACGAUGCGUAGCCGACCUGAGAGGGUGAUCGGCCACACUGGAACUGAGACACGGUCCAGGCUCCUACGGGAGGCAGCAGUAGGGAAUCUUCCGCAGUGGGCGAAAGCCUGACGGAGCAACGCCGCGUGAGUGAUGAAGGUCUUCGGAUCGUAAAACUCUGUUAUUAGGGAAGAACAAAUGUGUAAGUAACGAUGCACGUCUUGACGGUACCUAAGCAGAAAGCCACGGCUAACUACGU
rnacentral:rRNA from 1 species